GACGUAGGAGGCAAGCGUUGUCCGGAUUUACUGGGCGUAAAGAGCGCGCAGGCGGUCGUGCAAGUCGCGUGUGAAAGCCCCCGGCUCAACUGGGGAGGGUCACGCGAUACUGCUCGACUUGAAGGCAGGAGAGGGAAGCAGAAUUCCCGGUGUAGUGGUGAAAUGCGUAGAUAUCGGGAGGAAUACCAGUGGCGAAGGCGGCUUCCUGGCCUGUUCUUGACGCUGAGGCGCGAAAGCUAGGGUAGCAAACGGG
rnacentral:rRNA from 1 species